rnacentral:rRNA from 1 species
CCUACGGGAGGCAGCAGUGGGGAAUAUUGCACAAUGGGGGAAACCCUGAUGCAGCGACGCCGCGUGAGUGAAGAAGUAUCUCGGUACGUAAAGCUCCAUCAGCAGGGAAGAAAAUGACGGUACCUGACUAAGAAGCCCCGGCUAACUACGUGCCAGCAGCCGUGGUAAUACGGAGGGAGCAAGCGUUAUCCGGAUUUACUGGGUGUAAAGGGAGCGUAGACGGCAGCACAAGUCUGGAGUGAAAUCCCGGGGCUUAACCCCGGAACUGCUUUGGAAACUGGGCGGCUGGAGUGCAGGAGGGGUAAGCGGAAGUCCUGGUGUAGCGGUGAAAUGCGUAGAUAUUAGGAGGAACACCGGUGGCGAAGGCGGCUUGCUGGACUGUAACUGACGUUGAGGCUCGAAAGCGUGGGGAGCGAACAGGAUUAGAUACCCCAGUAGUC